rnacentral:lncRNA from 1 species
UUUCAUGUUCUACUGCUUGCCUAUAUAAACAGCAUCUACAUUAGUCAGAUAUUGGUGCUAGAGAUGUGGUUCAGUUGGGACAGUACAUGCCUACUAUGCAUGAGGUCCUGGGUUCAAUGCUAGUACCACAUAAAUGGGUCAUGGUGGUAUAUGCCUGUAACCCCAGCACUCUGAAAGCAGGAAGACCAGAAGUCAAGGCCAUCUCUUCAGGCCUACUGGGAAGUUGCACAUAACACACAUAACACCAUCCUCUCUUUUUGUACUAUAGAAUAUAAAUCAAUAAUAAUAAUAAUAAUAAAUUUCUUUUCAGUUACUAGCUAUAAUCAAAGGAGAAGAGUGACUGGGUGACAGAAAGCCCUCAUGCUGUUGCUCUCCUCCAUAGACAGAUUUUGAAGAUUGGAAGCCACCCAAGCCCUCCACAAUUCAGUUGUCUUGUGCUCAAGCUUCAAAUGCUGUCAGGGUCUCUUCUAGACGCAGCCAAAUGAUUCUUGGGCCAAAAAAAGUGAAAAAGGCCAUGCUUUCCCAGUUAAAUCAAACUCUAGUCACCUUGAAAGUGGAGCAAAAUCAAUUAUACUCUUCAAACUCCCAUCUCCUUCUUUAUGGGUCCAGCAGUGGAGAUAUAAUGGAUGCUUCACCAAGCCAGCUGGCCAGCCCAAAAGCCAAAAAUCAUUCUAUGUCAGGAGACAUUUUAGAUCCCAGCCCCCAAAUGCCCUGCUCUUUUUACAUAGCAGGUUUUCUUCAGUCUCUGAAUGCUGAACUCAUGGGGCCUGUGGAUUGCUCACAAGGCACCUUUGGCUCCAUGAACCAGGAAAGGCACAGAUGUGAAAAUAAAGUACAUAUGGCCCCAUGCAUGCACACAGUGCCUAGGCCCUGCAGGGGACAUGGCUACCCAAGUCAAGAGCACAGAGUCUCUGAACAAGCAUUCAUGGAGAAGAAAAUCUUUGGAAAAUUUUGCAUGUCACAAAGUAGCAACAGGCUAUUACUAUGCCAGAAAUACUGUCUUAGCUUUAUGGUCUCUUAAAAAGCUGUGUCAUAACAAACUCUUAACCCUUCCCCAUGGACGUUCUGCACCUAUUAUGCACUUUUCUCAUCAUAGUUGUGUGAUCUCUCCCAACUGUGAAAAGAGCGAAGCUUCCAAUCCUUUGAAUAAUGAAGUGGUAGAGCGGGCCUCUGAGACAGAGGUCAGCGGUGCAUGCCUCAGUAGCUGGGGCUUCUUUUGGUAGAAAUCAUGAAAUGAGAAGGCAGUAAGCAAGCUUGGGAUGACAGCAAUAAAGACUCAGGAGGGAUAGUCAGCAGAGAAUAAACUCAGAAGUGCUCUGUGGGGAGUUCCAGAGCCUCUGAGUAUUGUUCCCAGCAAGCAUCUUGACAAGUGUCUGUAGCCACAUCUGUGUAUCUGUCAAUAACUACUUAUAAGGAAGUAGUGAACAUAAGAUGGUUCGGGAAAAGGGAGACAGGGUGUUAUAGUUAUUUAAGUGGCUAUUUUAAAGCUAUAUUUAACCAGACAUUUGUACAAAGUAAUUAUGGCCUAUGGCUUUAUGGGAGACAAGAACAGUUGAAAGAAUUAGGCAAAGAUAGAGCAGAUAAACGAUGCUCAGAUUCUUGCUCACCAUUUGGCCCAUGUGUAAUUAAUUCUCUUCCUCGUCCCUCUAGUUACGCUUCCAGAAUUGUCUCUACACUUGUAAAGGGCUCAGGUUUGGUAUUAGUAUAAGAUACAGCUAGAUACAAACAGAUUGGCGAGCUGGUCCAGAAUCCUGCAUAAUAGCAGCACGGCCAUAAAAAUGCCAUCACCCUCACGCUGCAGGAAGAUAAAGCACAAUGCUCAUCUCGGAUGAACGCUUCGUCUCGUUCUGUCCUCGGGCCACAAUCAAUUGUACAUCAUUAACAAGACACAAAAUCUUUACUAAUUAGCUUUUAUGAUUAUAUUGUUAUUGCAUUGGGGCUUUUCAAGCAUUGGAAAUCGAGCAGAUAGGAUGCACAGAAAAGAGCCCUGUGCAAAGGGGAGGACCAGAAGGGGAGGACCAGGAGCCCACCAGCCCUGUCAUCAUCAGACAUUUUCAAUCCAUUCCCAUCUGUAAUUUUCAGUUCGAUUCACUGUUAAGAUUAAUAUUUUAGUAAGAGACUGACAAGUGUUAGAAGAAAGAGAGAAGAAUAUUGAGUGUGCUUUCUCACCAGACAGAAGUCAGCUGUGGAAGUGAUCUAACAAGAAUAAUUAUUCAUUUUCUCUCUGCUCAAAAUCUUCAAGGCUAUUGAUAAUCCUCCAUAGCUUUGUUACAUGUUGCUCUCCUCAAGAUAUGAAAAAAUAAGAAUUCUCCUAAUUAGGAAGAUAUAUCUUUUAUGCCGGCAUAUAUUUCAAACAGAUCAAAGAUUUAAUUUGAUAAUAUAUAAUAAUAAAUUUACCAAAAGUAUUCAUGAGAAGAUUUAAAUCGUCAUAUGAAACUCGAGCAUCUUAAGAGAAAAAUUAGGUAAAUUCAAUGAUAUAAUUUUUUUUCAGAACAGAAGUGUUUUUUAAUUAGGUAUUUUCUUCAUUUACAUUUCAAAUGCUAUCCC